rnacentral:rRNA from 1 species
GACGAACGCUGGCGGCGUGCCUAAUACAUGCAAGUCGAGCGGACCAAAGGGAGCUUGCUCCUGGAGGUCAGCGGCGAACGGGUGAGUAACACGUGGGCAACCUGCCUGUAAGACUGGGAUAACAUCGAGAAAUCGGUGCUAAUACCGGAUAAUAAAAAGAACUGCAUGGUUCUUUUUUGAAAGAUGGUUUCGGCUAUCACUUACAGAUGGGCCCGCGGCGCAUUAGCUAGUUGGUGAGGUAACGGCUCACCAAGGCAACGAUGCGUAGCCGACCUGAGAGGGUGAUCGGCCACACUGGGACUGAGACACGGGCCCAGACUCCUACGGGAGGCAGCAGUAGGGAAUCUUCCGCAAUGGGACGAAAGUACUGACGGAGCAACGCCGCGUGAGUGAUGAAGGUUUUCGGAUCGUAAAACUCUGUUGUUAGGGAAGAACAAGUGCCGCUCGAAAGGCGGCGACCUUGACGGUACCUAACGAGAAAGCACGGCUAACUACGUGCCAGCAGCCG